rnacentral:rRNA from 1 species
CCUACGGGGGGCAGCAGUGGGGAAUAUUGCACAAUGGGGGAAACCCUGAUGCAGCGACGCCGCGUGAGUGAAGAAGUAUCUCGGUACGUAAAGCUCUAUCAGCAGGGAAGCAAAUGACGGUACCUGACUAAGAAGCCCCGGCUAACUACGUGCCAGCAGCCGCGGUAAUACGUGGGGGGCAAGCGUUAUCCGGAUUUACUGGGUGUAAAGGGAGCGUAGACGGCAGCACAAGUCUGGAGUGAAAUCCCGGGGCUUAACCCCGGAACUGCUUUGGAAACUGUGCGGCUGGAGUGCAGGAGGGGGAAGCGGAAUGCCUGGUGUAGCGGUGAAAUGCGUAGAUAUUAGGAGGAACACCGGUGGCGAAGGCGGCUUACUGGACUGUAACUGACGUUGAGGCUCGAAAGCGUGGGGAGCAAACAGGAUUAGAUACCCGUGUAGUC